GAAAGCAGGUCAUAGUGAUCCGGUGGUUCUGAAUGGAAGGGCCAUCGCUCAACGGAUAAAAGGUACUCCGGGGAUAACAGGCUGAUACCGCCCAAGAGUUCAUAUCGACGGCGGUGUUUGGCACCUCGAUGUCGGCUCAUCACAUCCUGGGGCUGAAGUAGGUCCCAAGGGUAUGGCUGUUCGCCAUUUAAAGUGGUACGCGAGCUGGGUUUAGAACGUCGUGAGACAGUUCGGUCCCUAUCUGCCGUGGGCGCUGGAGAACUGAGGGGGGCUGCUCCUAGUACGAGAGGACCGGAGUGGACGCAUCACUGGUGUUCGGGUUGUCAUGCCAAUGGCACUGCCCGGUAGCUAAAUGCGGAAGAGAUAAGUGCUGAAAGCAUCUAAGCACGAAACUUGCCCCGAGAUGAGUUCUCCCUGACUCCUUGAGAGUCCUGAAGGAACGUUGAAGACGACGACGUUGAUAGGCCGGGUGUGUAAGCGCAGCGAUGCGUUGAGCUAACCGGUACUAAUGAACCGUGAGG
rnacentral:rRNA from 1 species